GCAUGCAUCUUUAAUUUCUAACGGAGUAAAAAGUUUCGACAAUCACUGAACUUAGUAUAAUGCACGUUGUGGUCACUGAACUUCCGUUUGCUGCUCAACAGUCACUGAACUUACAAACACACCACCCCUCCAUCACCCACUGCCCCAGCCGUUUGAACCCGUCUCACGUGGCUUGACGGCAGGUUACGUGGCUGUCGACGGCGUCAAACUCGACCACGAUGGACACAAUUUCACAGCCAAAACAUGAUCCUUCACCAUUUCCAAAUCCACAAUCUCUCAUCCCUAAUUCGAACACCCAGCCCUAGAUCGAUUUUUUUCCAAAUCCUCCCCCAAAUCGAUUCUUUAACAUCUGGCAAAAUUGGUAGAUCUUUUUUGCCUUCACAGCAACACCGGACGCAGGUCAUUUCUUCAUCUUCACCCUCAUAGCAACACCAAACUGACGGUAGGUGAAGGUUUUCAAAAGAUGGAUCCUUCGGAUAGGGAGUUGGUGUUGGAAUAAUGUACAUGAUGUCAAGUGGAAAGGCUGAAAUCAGCAGGUUGAACUCGGCAAUAGAAAAGACUACAAAGGUUGUUCAAGAAUUAAAAGCUGAAAUAUCUAAAAGACAAGCCUCCUGUCAUUUGCACUAUUCAAUUUCUCAGAACGAAGCUUCAACAAAUAAAAUACACACUGAUGGAAGUUACGGUAGACAACUAUUGGCUAACAACAUGGAUAACAUCAAAGCUUUUACUCUAAUUGCCGAAGGUGAAGGUGUAAGUGUGGAUCUAACGGAAGACCUGCAGCUCGAGGCGUUAGAAAUAGAUCAAGCAUACAAGCUUGUUGUAUGUUGAUUGCCAUUUAUUUUAGUAGUCCACUUUGCCUGUAAUGAAGCUUUUAUAUAUGUUGAAAUGUUUCUAAUGAUCUUAUGGUGUCUUUGAAAGGAAAGAUUGUGUCAUCCAUUUGUGCACAUAGUGAUUUCAAAAUGUGGAAUUGUUUCUAAUGAUGUUAUAUAUUUAUUUUUGUGUUUUCGAGAA